rnacentral:rRNA from 1 species
UACGUAGGGUGCAAGCGUUGUCCGGAAUUAUUGGGCGUAAAGAGCUCGUAGGUGGCGGGUCACGUCGGGUGUGAAAGCCCGGGGCUUAACCCCGGGUCUGCAUUCGAUACGGGCUUGCUAGGGUCCGGCAGGGGAGACUGGAAUUCCUGGUGUAGCGGUGAAAUGCGUAGAUAUCAGGAGGAACACCGGUGGUGUAGACGGCUUUCUGGACCGUAACUGACGCUGAGAACACGAAAGCGUGGGUAGCAAACAGG